rnacentral:rRNA from 1 species
UACGUAGGCAGCGAGCGUUGUUCGGAGUUACUGGGCGUAAAGAGUGCGUAGGCGGUGCUCCAAGUCUGGUGUGAAAUCUCCCGGCUUAACUGGGAGGGUGCGGCGGAAACUGGGGCGCUAGAGUAUGGGAGAGGUAAGCGGAAUUCCUGGUGUAGCGGUGAAAUGACGUAGAUAUCAGGAGGAACACCUGUGGUGUAGACAGCUUACUGGACCAUUACUGACACUGAGACACGAAAGCGUGGGUAGCAAACAGG